AUACGAAGGGGGCUAGCGUUGUUCGGAAUUACUGGGCGUAAAGCGCACGCAGGCGGCUCGUUAAAUUAGAAGUGAAAGCCCUGGGCUCAACCCGGGAAUUGCUUUUAAGACUGGCGAGCUUGAAUCCAGAAGAGGGUAGUGGAAUUCCAAGUGUAGAGGUGAAAUUCGUAGAUAUUUGGAAGAACACCAGUGGCGAAGGCGACUACCUGGUCUGGCAUUGACGCUCAUGUGCGAAAGCGUGGGGAGCAAACAGGAUUAGAUACCCUGGUAGUCCACGCCGUAAACGAUGAGUGCUAGUUGUUGGGGUGCAUGCACUUCAGUGACGCAGCUAACGCAUUAAGCACUCCGCCUGGGGAGUACGGCCGCAAGGUUAAA
rnacentral:rRNA from 1 species